GCAGGGCGUGGUGGUGCACACCUGUAAUCCCAGCAGCUCAGAAGGCUGAGACAGGAGGAUCACAAGUUCAAAGCUAGCUUCAGCAAUUUAGCAAGGCCCUAAGCAACUUAGUGAGAUUCAGUCUCAA
rnacentral:sRNA from 1 species